UCGCCAGAGAUUUUUAAUUAUGAAUGAAAGCCCCCGCAUCCACCGGGGAGGGUCAUUGGAAAUUGGGGAACUUGAAUGCGGAGAGGAGAGUGAACUCCCACGUGCGCGAUGAAAUGCGUCGUGAUGUGAGGAACACUGUGGCGAUGGCGACUCUCUGGUUAGUAACAGACGUGAGGAGCGAAAGCGUGGGGAGCGAACAGGUUAAGAUUCCUUGGUACUCCACGCCGUAAUCGAUGAGUGCUAAGUGUAAGGGGAUUCCGCCUUUUAGUGUUGCAGUUAACGCAUUAAGCACUCCGCCUGGGGAGUACGGUCGCAAGACUGAAACUCAAAGGAAAAGACGGGGGCCCGCACAAGCGGUGGAGCAUGUGGUUUAAUUAGAAGCAACGCGAAGAACCUUACCAGGUCUUGACAUCCUCUGACAAUCCUAGAGAUAGGACGUCCCCUUCGGGGGCAGAGUGACAGGUGGUGCAUGGUUGUCGUCAGCUCGUGUCGUGAGAUGUUGGGUUAAGUCCCGCAACGAGCGCAACCCUUGAUCUUAGUUGCCAGCAUUCAGUUGGGCACUCUAAGGUGACUGCCGGUGACAAACCGGAGGAAGGUGGGGAUGACGUCAAAUCAUCAUGCCCCUUAUGACCUGGGCUACACACGUGCUACAAUGGACAGAACAAAGGGCAGCGAAACCGCGAGGUUAAGCCAAUCCCACAAAUCUGUUCUCAGUUCGGAUCGCCGUCUGCAACUCGACUGCGUGAAGCAGGAAUCGCUUGUAAUCGUGGAUCUGCAUGACGCGGUGAAUACGUUCCCGGGCCUCUCCACACCCCCUUUUCGCUCCCCCAGAGUUCGUAACACCUUUUUUCCUUUCUGUAGCCCGUUUAACACA
rnacentral:rRNA from 1 species